AGUUUUUUAAGAAACACAUCAAAUAUAAUCUACAUAUAUAUUUUUGCAGCUAUUUUGUGAAAUAAAUCUUGGAGUUGAGACUUAUUUACAAUGGCUGCCACUGGUUUUUAAUUAUUAUUUUU
rnacentral:sRNA from 1 species